UAAUAAAUCUGCUAAACUGUUAAGUCGGUCAGUAUUUAAAAAUCUUUGUUUUUACUUUUUUUGUUUUUGCUAUCAUACUAAUUUAAAUAUUACAGUAACUGAAAGCUUUAAUACUUUGACAGAUCAGCCGAGUUGUCCUGCAAAGAGCUGCAAUACCAGUUGAAGUGGAGAUACUGAAGUGGACUCAGAUGACACAAUAAUAUUACAACACAGUCCUACAACAAGACGAAGAGUUGAAGACACCUCUCUGGCCAAAUUCCUCACAACCCCCAAGCAACAGAAUUGGCGUGCAAUAUUGGAGCUAUCCAGCCUUAUAGAUGUGAGCCAGAUGCCAAUUCAGACGACAAGAAUGAAGACAAGCGGAACAGGGAGCUUGUGGCCUGCCAAAUGUAGCUUGUGGUUGCUGUCAUUGGUGAGGAUGCAUCAUCCGUUGACGGUCAUGUGAAUGUCCUGCAUAUCCAGUACAGCAAGGUGCGAGAGGAUAUACUAAAGAAGUACCCUUUCUUGAAGACAACCUCAGGGUUGUUUGAUGAAGUUGACCGAAUGCAUCCAUCACCUGUCAGUUUAAG